rnacentral:rRNA from 1 species
UACGGGGGGGGCAAGCGUUGUUCGGAAUUACUGGGCGUAAAGGGCUCGUAGGCGGCUUCGCAAGUCGGAUGUGAAAUCCCGUGGCUCAACCAUGGACGUGCAUUCGAAACUGCGAAGCUUGAGUAUGGAAGAGGGUCGCGGAAUUCCCAGUGUAGAGGUGAAAUUCGUAGAUAUUCGCAAGAACACCAGUGGCGAAGGCGGCUCACUGGUCCGGUACUGACGCUGAGGUGCGAAAGCGUGGGGAGCAAACAGG